rnacentral:rRNA from 1 species
UGGGGAAUUUUGGACAAUGGGCGAAAGCCUGAUCCAGCAAUGCCGCGUGUGUGAAGAAGGCCUUCGGGUUGUAAAGCACUUUUGUCCGGAAAGAAAUCCUUGGCUCUAAUACAGUCGGGGGAUGACGGUACCGGAAGAAUAAGCACCGGCUAACUACGUGCCAGCAGCCGCGGUAAUACGUAGGGUGCAAGCGUUAAUCGGAAUUACUGGGCGUAAAGCGUGCGCAGGCGGUUUGCUAAGACCGAUGUGAAAUCCCCGGGCGUCAACCUGGGAACUGCAUUGGUGACUGGCAGGCUAGAGUAUGGCAGAGGGGGGUAGAAUUCCACGUGUAGCAGUGAAAUGCGUAGAGAUGUGGAGGAAUACCGAUGGCGAAGGCAGCCCCCUGGGCCAAUACUGACGCUCAUGCACGAAAGCGUGGGGAGCAAACAGGAUUAGAUACCCUGGUAGUCCACGCCCUAAACGAUGUCAACUAGUUGUUGGGGAUUCAUUUCCUUAGUAACGUAGCUAACGCGUGAAGUUGACCGCCUGGGGAGUACGGUCGCAAGAUUAAAACUUAAAGGAAUUGACGGGGUCAUAGCUG